rnacentral:misc_RNA from 1 species
GGGAGACCGAAAGGAGAUGGAGCUAGAAGCAAGUCUCGUCCCUCUAGCAGCAGUCUUGCUGCUUCUUUGCUGCCCCAAGGUUCUACGCCUGUUGGAUUUGGAGGCUAUAUGGGUUGUUCCCGUGUUGACUCAACUGAAGAUUCUCCCCCUUUCUUGGAUAUUGACAGUGAAGUGGCACAACACCUCAAGAGGCUUUCCAGAAAGGACCCUACUACUAAACUAAAAGCAUUGACAUCCCCGCCC